rnacentral:rRNA from 1 species
UACGAAGGGGGCUAGCGUUGCUCGGAAUCACUGGGCGUAAAGCGCACGUAGGCGGCUUUCUAAGUCAGGGGUGAAAUCCUGGAGCUCAACUCCAGAACUGCCUUUGAUACUGGGAAGCUCGAGUCCGGAAGAGGUGAGUGGAACUGCGAGUGUAGAGGUGAAAUUCGUAGAUAUUCGGAAGAACACCAGUGGCGAAGGCGACACACUGGCCCAAUACUGACGCUGAGGCUCGAAAGCGUGGGGAGCAAACAGG